ACGCGUGGAACCUUACCAGGUCUUGACAUCCUCUGACACUCCUAGAGAUAGGACGUUCCCCUUCGGGGGACAAAGUGACAGGUGGUGCAUGGUUGUCGUCAGCUCGUGUCGUGAGAUGUUGGGUUAAGUCCCGCAACGAGCGCAACCCUUGAUCUUAGUUGCCAGCAUUAAGUUGGGCACUCUAAGGUGACUGCCGGUGACAAACCGGAGGAAGGUGGGGAUGACGUCAAAUCAUCAUGCCCCUUAUGACCUGGGCUACACACGUGCUACAAUGGAUGGUACAAAGGGCAGCAAAGCGGUGACGCCUAGCGAAUCCCAUAAAACCAUUCUCAGUUCGGAUUGUAGGCUGCAACUCGCCUACAUGAAGCUGGAAUCGCUAGUAAUCGCGGAUCAGCAUGCCGCGGUGAAUACGUUCCCGGGCCUUGUACUCACCGCCCGU
rnacentral:rRNA from 1 species